CAUCACGAUGGAUGUACCUCUCAC
rnacentral:siRNA from 1 species